CCCCCGUGAGGAAACCCCCGCGUGUCUGACCCCCCAGCGCCGCCAGAACCUGCCCAAGGUUGAACCCACUGGUGACACUGGGGGGAGGGGAGGACGAGCGGUCCCGAGCGGACGGUCUGAGGGGG
rnacentral:snoRNA from 1 species